AGGACGAACGCUGGCGGCGCGCUUAACACAUGCAAGUCGAGCGAGAACCGGUCCUUCGGGACCGGGGAAAGCGGCGAACGGGUGAGUAACACGUGGGUAAUCAACCCUCGGUACCGGGAUAGCCCGAGGAAACUCGGAUUAAUACCGGAUGGCCCAACAGCCUUUCGGGGCGGUUGGAAAAGGUAGCUUCGGCCUCCGACCGAGGACGAGCCCGCGGCGGAUUAGCUUGUUGGUGGGGUAACGGCCCACCAAGGCGACGAUCCGUAGCUGGUCUGAGAGGACGAUCAGCCACACUGGGACUGAGACACGGCCCAGACUCCUACGGGAGGCAGCAGUGGGGAAUCUUGCACAAUGGGCGAAAGCCUGAUGCAGCGACGCCGCGUGAGGGAAGAAGGCUUUCGGGUUGUAAACCUCUUUCAGGGAGGGACGAAGCUACGUCGGGUUAAUAGCCCAGAGGGUGACGGUACCUCCAGAAGAAGCCCGGCUAACUACGCGCCAGCAGCCGC
rnacentral:rRNA from 1 species